GGGAGGACCAUCUUCCAAGGCUAAAUACUAACCGAUGACCGAUAGUGAACGAGUACCGUGAGGGAAAGGUGAAAAGAACCCCGGGAGGGGAGUGAAAUAGAAACUGAAACCGUUAGCUUACAAGCAGUAGGAGCACUAUGUAUUUAUACAGUGUGACUGCGUGCCUUUUGCAUAAUGAGUCAACGACUUACCCUAUGCAGCGAGGUUAAGCCGAGAGGUGGAGCCGCAGCGAAAGCGAGUCUUAACUGGGCGAAUGAGUUGUAUGGGGUAGACCCGAAGCCGGGUGAUCUAUCCAUGGCCAGGGUGAAGUCUCGGUAACACGAGAUGGAGGCCCGAACCGAUAUAGGUUGAAAACUGUUCGGAUGAGCUGUGGAUAGGAGUGAAAGGCUAAUCAAACUCGGUGAUAGCUGGUUUUCUCCGAAAUAUAUUUAGGUAUAGCCUCGCAUGAUGACUGACGGAGGUAGAGCACUGACAAGACUAGGGGGCCCACCGGCUUACCAACUCUUUUCAAACUCCGAAUACCGUCAAGUUCUAGUGCGGGAGUCAGACUACGGGAGAUAAGUUCCGUGGUCGAAAGGGAAAGAACCCAGACCGUCAGCUAAGGUCCCUAAACUAUGCUAAGUGGAAAAGGAUGUGGAAUUGUUUAUACAACCAGGAGGUUGGCUUAGAAGCAGCAACCCUUUAAAGAAAGCGUAAUAGCUCACUGGUCUAAUGAUACCGCGCCGAAAAUUUAACGGGGCUAAGCAUAGUACCGAAGCUACGGA
rnacentral:rRNA from 1 species